AGAGUGGGUCAGGCGACCGCGCGUUUGCUUUUGCAGGCGUGAGGAAAGUCCGGACUUCAUAGGGCAGGAUGCCAGCUAACGGCUGGGCGGGGUGACCCGACGGAAAGUGCCACAGAAAAGAAAACUCCCCUGCUGUCCCACCUUGAGCCCACCCUUAAGGUGUGGAUUUUUUGCAAGGUUGUGGCUUCCUUGCACGCAGGAGAAAAGCUGAAACGGUGUGGUAAGAGCGCACCAGCGUUGCGGCGACGCAGCGGCUUGGCAAACCCCAUCCGAAGCAAGGGCAAAUAGGAGUGCAAUGGGUUGGCCCGACUCGCACUCGGGUUGCUCGCUUGAGAACACUGGCGACAGCGUUCCUAGAUAAAUGGUCGUUCAAUGACAGAAUCCGGCUUAUCGACCCACUCUACUU
rnacentral:RNase_P_RNA from 1 species